CUCAGUCUCUCAAAACCCUAGCUUUGAACGCAUAUUCUUCUCUAAUUUGAAGCCUUAUUGUAUCUGUCUCAUAUUUGUUUCGCUAAAUAUUCGCAUUUCUUGCUUCUCUGUUUAGUUCCCCGGAAAGCCUAUGAAAUAUGUAUAUGGCGUCAGUCCAUGGUACACUGACAUCAGUUGUGUGCAAGAAGGGAAACAGCUCUUCUCCAGCAAAGUUCCCAAGCACUGCCUUCUUGCCGGGAUUUGAUACUGUGGGGUGUGUUUCAAGUGCGUAUAGAAAGGAAAUAUGCCCUCCUCCUCUGAGCUCAGGUCCCAGAGCAACACUUACCUUUGAUCCCCUGGCAACCAAUGCAGAUAGAGCUAAACAAAGGAAGCAUACUGUUGAUCCCACUGCUCCUGAUUUCCAAGAACUUCCGUCCUUCGAGCAAUGUUUCCCAAGGAGCACAAAAGAAUACAGGGAAGUUGUUCAUGAACAAACUGGUCAUGUACUCAAAGUUCCUUUUCGACGAGUUCACCUCGCUGGAGAUGAACCAGACUUUGACACCUAUGAUACCAGUGGUCCACAAAACAUUAGCCCACGAACUGGACUCGCUAAAGUGCGCAAAGAGUGGAUUGACAGGCGUGAGAAAUUAGGUGCACCUAGAUACACUCAAAUGUACUAUGCUAAGCAGGGAAUUAUAACUGAGGAAAUGCUGUAUUGUGCAACUCGUGAGAAACUUGACCCUGAGUUUGUGAGGUCCGAAGUUGCUCGUGGGCGGGCGAUCAUUCCUUCCAAUAAGAAGCACUUGGAGCUGGAACCAAUGAUAGUUGGAAGAAAGUUUUUGGUCAAAGUUAAUGCAAAUAUUGGAAACUCUGCUGUUGCGAGCUCCAUUGAAGAGGAAGUUUACAAAGUCCAAUGGGCAACCAUGUGGGGUGCCGAUACUGUCAUGGAUCUUUCUACAGGUCGCCACAUCCAUGAGACCCGUGAGUGGAUCCUCCGGAACUCUGCUGUGCCAGUAGGGACUGUACCCAUAUAUCAAGCACUUGAAAAAGUGAAUGGCAUUGCAGAAAAUCUUAGCUGGGAAGUGUUCAGAGACACUCUGAUUGAACAAGCGGAGCAGGGUGUAGAUUACUUCACCAUACAUGCUGGUGUUCUCCUGCGUUACAUCCCUCUGACAGCAAAGCGUAUGACAGGGAUUGUCUCACGCGGAGGAUCUAUCCAUGCAAAGUGGUGCUUGGCUUAUCAUAAAGAGAAUUUCGCUUAUGAGCACUGGGAUGACAUACUUGACAUCUGUAAUCAAUAUGAUGUGGCUUUAUCUAUAGGCGAUGGAUUGAGACCUGGGUCCAUCUAUGAUGCCAAUGACACUGCUCAAUUUGCAGAGCUCCUUACUCAAGGAGAACUGACCCGCAGAGCUUGGGAAAAGGAUGUACAGGUAAUGAAUGAAGGGCCUGGACACAUUCCAAUGCACAAGAUUCCUGAAAACAUGCAGAAACAGCUGGAAUGGUGUAAUGAAGCGCCUUUCUACACUCUUGGCCCUUUAACAACUGAUAUUGCUCCUGGAUACGAUCACAUCACCUCUGCCAUUGGUGCUGCCAAUAUUGGAGCUCUGGGAACUGCACUUCUCUGUUACGUAACUCCCAAAGAACACCUAGGAUUGCCAAAUCGUGAUGAUGUGAAGGCAGGAGUUAUAGCAUACAAGAUAGCUGCUCAUGCAGCUGAUUUAGCUAAAGGUCACCCACAGGCUCAAGCUUGGGAUGAUGCAUUAAGCAAGGCAAGAUUUGAGUUCCGGUGGAUGGAUCAGUUUGCUUUGUCUCUGGACCCCAUGACUGCCAUGUCCUUCCAUGAUGAAACCUUGCCAUCAGAUGGUGCCAAGGUGGCCCACUUCUGCUCUAUGUGUGGACCGAAGUUCUGCUCUAUGAAGAUUACAGAGGAUGUGCGGAAGUAUGCUGAGGAGCAUGGUUACGGGAGUGCUGAGGAAGCUGUGCAGCAUGGAAUGGAUGCCAUGAGUGCUGAGUUUUUGGCUGCUAAGAAAACUGUCAGUGGAGAGCAGCAUGGUGAAAUUGGUGGUGAAAUCUACUUGCCUGCAAGUUACUUGAAAACCUCAGAGAGGUGAAGGAUCCUGUAAAUGAGCAGCAGAUCAGUUUAUCGACCUUCAAGGCUUAUUAGAUGCAUGAUUAGCUUAUCGAGGUUUCGAUAUUAGGGGUGCCUGCAUCUGUUUUGCUCUGGCUGUUUGGCUGGAAUGCGGCAGGUCAGGCUGAGAUAGUCCCUUUGAACCUGAACAGGAUAAUGCCUGCGUAGGGAGUGUGCAUUUUCUCUCUUUUUUGUUUUUCUGUGCUUGCACAGGGAGAGAGAGCAUUUGUCCGUGGUUCGGGCUAGUUGUUGGAUAUCAUUCAUAGCCAAGCUUAAAUGGCUGGGAAGUAACCGUGUGGAAAUUCAAGCAUAAGAAGAAAUGUCCAGCGACCAUAUCCAAUUGGCCAUUUGUUGGACUCUAUUUAUUCGUCAGCUAAUAUUCAUUUCAAUAUUAGCUUCAUUUCCUCAUGAGAUAAAGGGCUUGCUAUUAUAAAUUUAUUACCAUUUAUGAUUUCCAAAAUAAAAACAAAUUGGUAUUAUAAA